UCCUACGGGAGGCAGCAGUGAGGAAUAUUGGUCAAUGGGCGGAAGCCUGAACCAGCCAAGUCGCGUGAGGGAAUAAGGCCCUACGGGUCGUAAACCUCUUUUGCCGGGGAGCAAGGGCGGGGACGUGUCCCGGCCCGGAGAGUACCCGGAGAAAAAGCAUCGGCUAACUACGUGCCAGCAGCCGCGGUAAUACGUAGGUGGCAAGCGUUAUCCGGAUUUAUUGGGCGUAAAGGGAACGCAGGCGGUCUUUUAAGUCUGAUGUGAAAGCCUUCGGCUUAACCGGAGUAGUGCAUUGGACACUGGGG
rnacentral:rRNA from 1 species